rnacentral:rRNA from 1 species
UACAGAGGGGGCAAGCGUUGUUCGGAAUUACUGGGCGUAAGGGGCGCGUAGGCGGCCUUCUAAGUCAGACGUGAAAUCCCCAGGCUUAACUUGGGAACUGCGUCUGAUACUGGAUGGCUUGAGUGCGGGAGAGGGAUGUGGAAUUCCAGGUGUAGCGGUGAAAUGCGUAGAUAUCUGGAGGAACACCGGUGGCGAAGGCGGCAUCCUGGACCGAUACUGACGCUGAGGCGCGAAAGCUAGGGGAGCAAACAGGG